rnacentral:rRNA from 1 species
UACGGAGGGAGCUAGCGUUGUUCGGAAUUACUGGGCGUAAAGCGCACGUAGGCGGCUUUUUAAGUCAGGGGUGAAAUCCUGGGGCUCAACCCCGGAACUGCCCUUGAAACUGGAGAGCUAGAAUCUUGGAGAGGCGAGUGGAAUUCCGAGUGUAGAGGUGAAAUUCGUAGAUAUUCGGAAGAACACCAGUGGCGAAGGCGGCUCACUGGCUCGGUACUGGCGCUGAGGUGCGAAAGCGUGGGGAGCAAACAGG